AUGCUUCAGUAGCACAUAUACUAAAAUUGGAACAAUACAGAGAAAAUUAGCAUGGCUCCUGGGCAAGAAUGACAUGCAAAUUCAUGAAGAAAUUUACUAACAAUU